rnacentral:rRNA from 1 species
GCUUAAGGCGAUACCACCUUCAAUGCACCUGAACUUUCUGAACUCAGAAGCUAAGCAGGGUUGGGCCUAGUUAGUACUUGGAUGGGGCAGUUUGCUAGUUACCACAAUUU